rnacentral:rRNA from 1 species
UUCGCAAUGCCCGAAAGGGUGACGAAGCGACGCCGCGUGUGGGAAGAAGGCCUUCGGGUUGUAAACCACUGUUGGGAGUUAGGAAGUGUGGAGGUGUUAAUAGCGCUUUCACUUGACUAAAGCUCCAGAGGAAGCCACGGCUAACUCUGUGCCAGCAGCCGCGGUAAUACAGAGGCGGCAAGCGUUGUUCGGAAUUAUUGGGCGUAAAGAGCACGUAGGCGGCUCUGCAAGUCAGCUGUGAAAGCCUUCUGCCUAACGGAAGAACGGCAGUUGAAACUACAGGGCUUGAGUGCGGGAGGGGAGAGUGGAACUUCUGGUGGAGCGGUGAAAUGCGUAGAUAUCAGAAGGAACGCCGGCGGCGAAAGCGGCUCUCUGGUCCGUAACUGACGCUGAGUGUGCGAAAGCUAGGGGAGCAAACGGGAUUAGAUACCCCGGUAGUCCUAGCCGUAAACGAUGGGCACUAAGUAGAGGGGUUUU